rnacentral:rRNA from 1 species
UACAGAGGGGGCAAGCGUUGUUCGGAAUUACUGGGCGUAAAGCGCACGUAGGCGGACUCUUAAGUCGGUGGUGAAAUCCUGGAGCUCAACUCCAGAACUGCCUUCGAUACUGAGAGUCUCGAGUCCGGGAGAGGUGAGUGGAACUGCGAGUGUAGAGGUGAAAUUCGUAGAUAUUCGCAAGAACACCAGUGGCGAAGGCGGCUCACUGGCCCGGUACUGACGCUGAGGUGCGAAAGCGUGGGGAGCAAACAGG